rfam:Dipodomys ordii contig_31110, whole genome shotgun sequence.
GGGAAAGUGGCUCAGUGGUAGAGCGCUUGCCUUGCAUGCGUGAGGGUCUGGGUUCGAUUCCUCAGCACCA